rnacentral:rRNA from 1 species
UACGUAGGGCGCAAGCGUUGUCCGGAAUUAUUGGGCGUAAAGAGCUCGUAGGCGGUCUGUUACGUCCGCUGUGAAAACCCAGGGCUUAACCCUGGGCUUGCAGUGGAUACGGGCAGACUAGAGGCAGGUAGGGGAGAAUGGAAUUCCCGGUGUAGCGGUGAAAUGCGCAGAUAUCGGGAGGAACACCGGUGGCGAAGGCGGUUCUCUGGGCCUGACCUGACGCUGAGGAGCGAAAGCGUGGGGGAGCGAACAGG